AACACCCGUUGAUCCUGCGGGAGAUAGCUGCUAUGGGGAUUCGAAUUAGCCAUGCAAGUCAGGGAGCAAUCCCGGCGAAUCGCUCAGUAACACGUCGAUAAUCUGCCGUAUGGUCAGGGAUAACCUCGGGAAACUGAGUGGAAUACCUGAUAGGAAACGAUGGCUGGAAUGCCUUGUUUCUGAAACUCGAGCCAUACGAUGAGUCGGCGGCGGAUUAGGUUGUUGGUGGGGUAAUGGCCCACCAAGCCGAAGAUCCGUACGGGCCAUGAGAGUGGGAGCCCGGAGAGGGACACUGAGAUACUGGUCCCAGCCCUACGGGGUGCAGCAGGCGCGAAAACUCUUCAAUGCACGAAAGUGUGAAAGGGGAAUCCCCAGUGCUUAUGCAUUGCAUAGGCUUUUGCCAAGUGUAAAUAGCUUGGCGAAUAAGUGGUGGGUAAGACCGGUGCCAGCCGCCGCGGUAACACCGGCGCCACAAGUGGUUAUCACGAUUAUUGGGCCUAAAGCGUUCGUAGCCGGCUUGGUAAAUCUUUUGUGAAAUCGUCUCGCUCAACGUGACGGCGCGCAGAGGACACUGCCAGGCUCGAGACCGGGAGGGGUUAGACGUAUUCCGGGGGACCGGUAAAUGGGGAUAAUCCUCGGAGGACGACCGAUGGCGAAGGCAUCUAACCAGAACGGAUUUGACGGUGAGGAACGAAAGCUAGGGGAGCAAACCGGAUUAGAUACCCGAGUAGUCCUAGCCGUAAACGCUGUGAGCUAGGUGUUGCGUAUCCUACGGGGAUGCGCAGUGUCGAAAGGAAGCUGAUAAGCUCACCGCCUGGGAAGUACGGUCGCAAGGCUGAAACUUUAAGGAAUUGACGGGGGAGCACCACAAGGGGUGCGGCGUGCGGUUUAAUCUAAUUCAACGCAGAGAACCUCACUAGAGGCGACGGCAGGAUGAAGGUCAGUCUGAAGGGCUUACUUGACGAGCCGAGAGGUGCUGCAUGGCCGCCGUCAGCUCGUGCUGUGAAGUGUCCAGUUAAGUCUGGCAACGAGCGAGAUCUGCAUCCACAGUUGCUAACAGCGCAUGCGGACUGAGCACACUGUGGAGACUGCCUUCGUAAGAAGGAGGAAGGUGUAGGCUACGGUAGGUCUGUAUGGCCCGAAUCUUCUAGGCUACACGCGCGCAACAAUGGUUGGGACAAUGGGAUGCAACACCGAAAGGUGAAGCCAAACCUCAAAACCCAAUCUUAGUCCGGAUUGAGGCUUGCAACUCAGCCUCAUGACGUCGGAAUCCCUAGUAAUCGGACGUCAUCAUCGUCUGGUGAAUAUGUCCCUGCUCCUUGCACACACCGCCCGUCAAACCACCCGAGCAGGGUCUGGGUGAAAUGCACCUUUUUGGGUACAUUGAACCUAGGCUCAGUGAGGUGGGUUAAGUCGUCACAAGGUAUCCGUAGGGGAACCUGCGGAUGGAUCACCUCCUAU
rnacentral:rRNA from 1 species